AGAUUUCUCACGAUACCACACUUACUGCUUUAUUGCUUAUUGGGAUCUGUGCACUAGCUAGAUUUUGCACAAUAAGCACCGCCACUCACGUUGAUGCAACUGGGUACUCAGUUCCUUACAUAUGACGCCGUCAAUCCUUUCUAUUGAUCUCACCGUUCCAUAACCUCACUCUCCUCUCACUCUAUCAAACUCUGAACUCGUCGAUGGCAGAUUUCAAAAAUGAAGCAUCUCUGUUUCACAAAUGAGCAACCUCGCCUCACGCCUUCAUAUUGUCUUGUGUCUCGGGCGCGAUUCCUCUAUUCUACUCGAAGAGAUAGCACGUGAACAGAGGGGUUGGUUCGUUGGGUAAAAUUCCUACAGACAGACUUCCCAUUUCACAUAUGGAUGAGCAGAUUUUUCAGAUUUCUCAUUUGUCUUGGGUAUGAUUCAUGCACGAAGAAUUUUGUAUUCUCAUAUGGGUUUUUAAAUUUGAAUUUGUGUAAAUUUGAAUUUGAGUUGUUAAAUUUGUAUGAGAUUUGAUUGCUGAACAUAUGAAUUUGUUGAAAAUUGAAUCUAGAAUUGCUAGUUGAUUAUGGUUUAUUGUUUGAUUAUGGUAUUUUGUUUGAUUCAUGGAGUUCAUUGGCAUCUGGUAUUGAGAUUGAUUAUCAA
rnacentral:misc_RNA from 1 species